AGAGUUUGAUCCUGGCUCAGGAUGAACGCUGGCGGCGUGCUUAACACAUGCAAGUCGAACGAAGCAUUUAAGACAGAUUACUUCGGUUUGAAGUCUUUUAUGACUGAGUGGCGGACGGGUGAGUAACGCGUGGGUAACCUGCCUCAUACAGGGGGAUAGCAGCUGGAAACGGCUGGUAAUACCGCAUAGGCGCACAGUACCACAUGGUACAGUGUGAAAAACUCCGGUGGUAUGAGAUGGACCCGCGUCUUAUUAGCUUGUUGGCGGGGUAACGGCCCACCAAGGCGACGAUCAGUAGCCGACCUGAGAGGGUGACCGGCCACAUUGGGACUGAGACACGGCCCAGACUCCUACGGGAGGCAGCAGUGGGGAAUAUUGCACAAUGGAGGAAACUCUGAUGCAGCGACGCCGCGUGAGUGAAGAAGUAGUUCGCUAUGUAAAGCUCUAUCAGCAGGGAAGAUAGUGACGGUACCUGACUAAGAAGCCCCGGCUAAAUACGUGCCAGCAGCCGCGGUAAUACGUAUGGAGCAAGCGUUAUCCGGAUUUACUGGGUGUAAAGGGAGUGUAGGUGGCCAGGCAAGUCAGAAGUGAAAGCCCGGGGCUCAACCCCGGGACUGCUUUUGAAACUGCAGGGCUAGAGUGCAGGAGGGGCAAGUGGAAUUCCUAGUGUAGCGGUGAAAUGCGUAGAUAUUAGGAGGAACACCAGUGGCGAAGGCGGCUUGCUGGACUGUAACUGACACUGAGGCUCGAAAGCGUGGGGAGCAAACAGGAUUAGAUACCCUGGUAGUCCGCACGGUAAACGAUGGAUGCCCGCUGUUGGUCUGAAUAGGUCAGCGGCCAAGCGAAAGCAUUAAGCAUCCCACCUGGGAAGUACGCCGGCAACGGUGAAACUCAAAGGAAUUGACGGGGGCCCGCACAAGCGGAGGAACAUGUGGUUUAAUUCGAUGAUACGCGAGGAACCUUACCCGGGCUUGAAUUGCAGAGGAAGGAUUUGGAGACAAUGACGCCCUUCGGGGCCUCUGUGAAGGUGCUGCAUGGUUGUCGUCAGCUCGUGCCGUGAGGUGUCGGCUUAAGUGCCAUAACGAGCGCAACCCCUCUCCUUAGUUGCCAUCAGGUUAAGCUGGGCACUCUGGGGACACUGCCACCGUAAGGUGUGAGGAAGGUGGGGAUGACGUCAAAUCAGCACGGCCCUUACGUCCGGGGCUACACACGUGUUACAAUGGCAGGUACAGAGAGACGGUCCCUUGCAAAACGGAUCAAAUCCUUAAAGCCUGUCUCAGUUCGGACUGGGGUCUGCAACCCGACCCCACGAAGCUGGAUUCGCUAGUAAUCGCGCAUCAGCCAUGGCGCGGUGAAUACGUUCCCGGGCCUUGUACACACCGCCCGUCAAGCCAUGAAAGCCGGGGGCGCCUAAAGUCCGUGACCGUAAGGAGCAGCCUAGGGCGAAACUGGUAAUUGGGGCUAAGUCGUAACAAGGUA
rnacentral:rRNA from 1 species